rnacentral:rRNA from 1 species
AUUGAACGCUGGCGGCAUGCCUUACACAUGCAAGUCGAACGGCAGCACGGGGCAACCUGGUGGCGAGUGGCGAACGGGUGAGUAACGCAUCGGAACGUACCUUUCAGUGGGGGAUAACGUAGCGAAAGUUACGCUAAUACCGCAUAUUCUGUGAGCAGGAAAGCAGGGGAUCGCAAGACCUUGCGCUGAUUGAGCGGCCGAUGUCAGAUUAGCUAGUUGGUGAGGUAAAGGCUCACCAAGGCGACGAUCUGUAGCGGGUCUGAGAGGAUGAUCCGCCACACUGGGACUGAGACACGGCCCAGACUCCUACGGGAGGCAGCAGUGGGGAAUUUUGGACAAUGGGGGCAACCCUGAUCCAGCCAUGCCGCGUGAGUGAAGAAGGCCUUCGGGUUGUAAAGCUCUUUCGGCCGGGAAGAAAUCGCACAGGCUAAUACCUUGUGUGGAUGACGGUACCGGAAUAAGAAGCACCGGCUAACUACGUGCCAGCAGCCGCAGUAAGAC